rnacentral:rRNA from 1 species
GAUGAACGCUGGCGGCGUGCCUAAUACAUGCAAGUCGAGCGAACAGACGAGGAGCUUGCUCCUCUGACGUUAGCGGCGGACGGGUGAGUAACACGUGGAUAACCUACCUAUAAGACUGGGAUAACUUCGGGAAACCGGAGCUAAUACCGGAUAAUAUAUUGAACCGCAUGGUUCAAUAGUGAAAGGCGGUUUUGCUGUCACUUAUAGAUGGAUCCGCGCCGCAUUAGCUAGUUGGUAAGGUAACGGCUUACCAAGGCAACGAUGCGUAGCCAACCUGAGAGGGUGAUCGGCCACACUGGAACUGAGACACGGUCCAGACUCCUACGGGAGGCAGCAGUAGGGAAUCUUCCGCAAUGGGCGAAAGCCUGACGGAGCAACGCCGCGUGAGUGAUGAAGGUCUUCGGAUCGUAAAACUCUGUUAUUAGGGAAGAACAAAUGUGUAAGUAACUAUGCACGUCUUGACGGUACCUAAUCAGAAAGCCACGGCUAACUACGUG